rnacentral:rRNA from 1 species
CUUAACUGAACCUUCGGGGGACGUUAAGGACGGCGAGCGGCGGACGGGUGAGUAAUGCCUGGGAAUAUGCCCUGAUGUGGGGGAUAACUAUUGGAAACGAUAGCUAAUACCGCAUAAUCUCUUCGGAGCAAAGAGGGGGACCUUCGGGCCUCUCGCGUCAGGAUUAGCCCAGGUGGGAUUAGCUUGUUGGUGAGGUAAUGGCUCACCAAGGCAACGAUCCCUAGCUGGUCUGAGAGGAUGAUCAGCCACACUGGAACUGAGACACGGUCCAGACUCCUACGGGAGGCAGCAGUGGGGAAUAUUGCACAAUGGGGGAAACCCUGAUGCAGCCAUGCCGCGUGUGUGAAGAAGGCCUUCGGGUUGUAAAGCACUUUCAGUAGGGAGGAAGGUAGUGUAGUUAACACCUGCAUUAUUUGACGUUACCUACAGAAGAAGCACCGGCUAACUCCGUGCCAGCAGCCGCGGUAAUACGGAGGGUGCGAGCGUUAAUCGGAAUUACUGGGCGUAAAGCGCAUGCAGGCGGCCUGUUAAGUCAGAUGUGAAAGCCCGGGGCUUAACCUCGGAAUUGCAUUUGAAACUGGCAGGCUAGAGUCUUGUAGAGGGGGGUAGAAUUUCAGGUGUAGCGGUGAAAUGCGUAGAGAUCUGAAGGAAUA